AGUCACAGGCUGCAAAUAAAUAGAAGACAAAUCUUAGCCCUGAGAAAGGGUGCACCCAUAUAUAUUUAUCUUCAAUAUCUGGUUUUUUCAAUGAUCAUUGCACACAAACCAAACCAAUUCUUCCACAUCCCAUAGUCCUUCAUAUGAUUGAUUAAUAAGUUGGUGGUGAUUGAUGGAGAAGUGCUAUAGAUGAAGCACAAAGCAAUUGAGGUAUUGGCGUGCCUCAAUUUGAAGACAUGGUUAUUAUGGAAACAAGCCAUGUAGUUUUAAUUGAGCCGCGUCAAUAUCUUAAUUAUUUUCCAAUCAUUUCCCAUCUCCACCUACCUAUCUCUCUCUCAAACACCAGGUAUGUAUGUAUGUAUAUCCAAUACUCAUCUUUUUUGCUUCAUUUCCUUUAUAUAUAGAUAACUAUGUUCUUUCUUUUCCUCUGCUACUAUAUUCUUGUUUUUCGGAAAUAAAUAGAUGCAUAUACUCUUGCUUAAACCAAACCGUAGUGCUACUGUACUAUUUUUGGACAAAUAGUGCUGAUGCAAUAACUGUGUUUGUGGAAACUAUUGUGUCUCAAUUACCAUGGCCAUCCCAAAUUUUAAGACUUAAUGUUUAUGUAGGUAUAGUUAACAAAUUAAGGAAUCAUGGAAGGCAAUAUAUAUAUAGAAGGUAGACUUGGAUCAUAUGUAGACAUUAUAAUGUAGAGACUAUAAAUAUAGCUGUAUCUCGUUAAUCAAAAUUAGGGAAACCAAAACCAAAGUUGAAGACGAACUAUCCUUAGUUAGCCAGCAAAAUAAAAUGGAACCACCUUAUUUAAAUAAUCUAAAAGUUAUUAUUUUUGGUUAAUUAGAUUCACCGCCACUUAAAGAGCAUGCAGACCAAAAUUUGUGGAAUCAUGUUCAUCUCCAUUACACAAAAGAGAAGAUUAGAAAUGUUAUAUCAUAUUGUUUAUUUUCUUUAUUUUUUAUGUAUUUCUCUCUGAGGUAAUGGAGAGGAUCUAUAUCUCACGUUGAUGGGUCAAUAUAUAUAAUCCUACUAAAAGGCAUACUAUAAAUUCCAUCAUCUUGUAGAUAGGUACAAAUCAAUAAAAAGAAAUAACAUUUUUAUUGUUUUCACCAUAUGUGGUUUAGAUUGGUUUCGACUAAUUUUUUUAUAAAAGAUUGAUAAUCUAAACAUAUACUUCAAAAAUAAAAAACAUGAUUAAAAUAUUUAGUGUUAUAGAUAUUUUAAAUUUACAAGCUUUCAUGCUUUGGUGUUAAUAUUAUAUUGUCACAACUUUAUUAUAAAUAAAGUUUAUAUACUUUAAAAGUUCAUUGGUUUUUAGGCAAAAAUCAUUUGAUCCACUUUGUUCAACAACCAGGGAUUUGUGGUUGCUAAUAAUUCUUCUGAAACUGCUUCACGUGGUUACCAAUACUAUGUUGGAAGCUAUAACUAUAAUAAUCGCUUCAACGCAAGUUCUAUGUUUCCAACACCAUCUGACUCGGUUACUCCUGCUUUAUCCUAUGUUACUGGUUUUGAUGGUUUGAUAGGAGCUUCAAGAAUGGUAUGGUAUAGCAUUAGAGUCACUUUCUUAUUUAUAUGAAAAAACAAUGCUUUAUCUUUCUAUUGAGGGAUUUAGUUCAUCAAAAUAUGUCAUUAAUUAUUGAGUAGUACUACACUAGUGCAACUAGGGGUUUAGUUCCGAGCAAUUAGCAAAAUCAUUCUAUGUUUUUAUUAGGAGCCUCUUGCACUAAACACUUAAUAAUUUCUGUUUUUAUUUUGUUUCCUGUUUCUAAGAUUUAUCUAGAACAAACAAUAUUUUCCACCUUUUCGUAUACUAACAUUUGAAAACGGAAAACAAAAUAAAAAGAAGGUGACAUACUUGUAAUAAUUAUUAUGAACUUUCAUAGUGAAAAAAGGGACUCUAGUAUACCACAUUGACCUAUAUUUCGAUAUCCUAGAGUGUCUUCCCACAGGUUAACAAUAAGUACCAUGAAGUUGCACCAUUUUCGCCUCAAGGAAAUAGUGGCCUGUGCCUGUGAUGCCACCCUUGAAGAAGAAGAAGAAAAGGACUGAGGACAAUAGUAAAGGAACCCCCAUGAGCUCAUCAGGUUAACCUAUUCAUUAUUCUCUUGGGUUUCAUAUAUUUGAUUCCGUACUAUUAUUUAUUAUGUAUUUCUAUAUAUAGUUUGAAAAUCAAUAAGUGAACGAGUCUUCCAUCUACAGCAAAAUGAAGCACUAUAUCCAAGACAAGAAUUGCAGGCCAUUCUUUAUAGCUCAGUGUAAAGCAGAUAGAUGUUGGUACAAAUUUUCCAUCAUCAAAAGUUUCAUAAUUCUAUAAACAAAUGGACAAAAGGAAACGC
rnacentral:lncRNA from 1 species